rnacentral:ncRNA from 1 species
ACGCAGGCGAUUCGCCUGAAUAAUAUUGCAUAUUACAAUAAUAGUGCAUGGAAUAAUUGAACAAGAUUCUGUUUCUGUUCUGUUGGUAUUUGGAAUACGGGAUAAUGAUUAAGAGGGACAGACGGGGGCAUUCGUAUUACGCCGCUAGAGGUGAAAUUCUUGGACCGUCGCAAGACGAACUGCUGCAAAAGCAUUUGCAAAGAAUGUUUUCAUUGAUCAAGAAAGAAAAGUUAGAGGUUCGAAGGCGACCAGAUACCGCCCUAGUUCCAACCAUAAACGAUGCCAACCAGCGGUCCGCCUGAGUUACUCAAAUGACUCGGAGGGCAGCUUCCGGGAAACCAAAGUAUUUGGGUUCCGGGGGAAGUAUGGUUGCAAAGCUGAAAACUUAAAGGAAUUGACGGAAGGGCACCACCAGGAGUGGAGCCUGCGGCUUAAUUUGACUCAACACGGGAAAACUUACCCGGCCCGGACAUGGGGAGGAUUGACAGAUUGAGCGCUCUUCUUUGAUUUGGUGGAUGGUGGUGCGAUUUGUCUGGUUAAAUCCCAUAAGGAACGAGACUCUAGCCUAUUAAAUAGGUGCGUGGUUCUCUGCGCCUUAAACCCUCCUUAGAGGGUAAGCGGCUCCUAGCCGCACGAAACAGAGCAAUAACAGGUCUGUGAUGGCCUUAGAUGUCUAGGGCCGCACGCGCGCUACACUGAAGAAAGCAGCGUGUUUUUAUCCCUGAAGAAAGCAGCCACCACACUGCGAUUUAUUGAGGCUCAGCCAUUAACCGGGAGGUUUGUCCACUAUCUCACAGAAGAUGGAUAUCCUCCGUUAAAAAAAAGACAAGAGAGGUACGCAUUUUUUUUUUAAUUUUUCACACACACAGUUUUUGUGGUUAACCGUAUGAUCAAUU